UUUUGUGCUUGUGUUCAGUAUUUCUGUAAUUUACUGCCACUAAAUGAAUAGGAUACAAAGUCUAGUAAACCUACGUGAUUUUUGUAAGAGAAGACUGGGAGCAAGGUGACUGGGAGUGUGUCAUCUUGCCAGUAAAGUCUCUUCACCUUUACUGUGUACACAUAUGUAGUUAUGUGUUAUUCAUGCAAGUGGAAACUCUGGCUGUACUAUGUGCUGUUGGAAAAUCAACUUCUCAGUCAUAAUGAUAAAAAAUAAAGGUGCCGGCGGAGCAGCGGCGCGUGGCAGACGUGUGCCGGGCUGACGCCUGCUCACCUGGAGCCGCCCGAAACCUCCUCCAGCAGCAACACGGUCAGAUGAGGUCGGUGUGGCGGUGUCCGUAGGAUCAGCCCGGCCUGCCCGGACCAGCCCAGAUCUGGCCGAAGGUUAAAACAGGAGAGGAGCAACAAGGCGAGGGCGAGGAAUGAAAGGUAAAAAAAAGAAGAAACAACGUUUAUCGCAUUAUCUUCUAGACGAGGACGGGGGAAGGUGGGGUGGCGACACAGCCAACGGAGACGAAACAUCCAAAUAAGCGCUGCUGCUGUUGCGCUGUUUGUAAUGCGUCUGUGUGUAUCUCUACUCUGCUGUUUGUGGUGUUUUACACACACAAAGACAUUGUACUUCCUAGUUUCUUUAUUUUCCUCACUGACCAAGGAAGCAUAGAUAAAGAAGAGCCAUCGCAGUACCUCGUUCGUGGGUAUUGGACAUGGAAA